rnacentral:lncRNA from 1 species
AGGUUAUCUGGAUUCCCUCUGUGAGGUUUGGUGCUGAAUUGUAGGUGUCAGGAAAACUGAAAUCCCAGCUGCCUCUAGUGUUAACCCUUAGAGCCCAUCCAGCAGGGACUCAACCUCUCUUGCUCCUGCCUGGGCCACACCUGUACUGAGAACACCCUGAUAGGAACCAACCAAACUACUCUGACCCCAAAACACUUUUCGUUUUUCUCUACAGAAACAUCAUUUGAAGAAAAGAAUUCAAAUUUCCAGCACUACAAUGAAAGGUUUGUGGAACACAGUACUGUUGAGUGGAGAGAACUACAAAAGCAACAGAAAUCAAUGAAAACAGUGCCCAUCAUAUGCACCUGAAUAAAGUGUCCCUUUAUCAGGUUAGAAGAUAGUGUGAUCACAUGAAA